rnacentral:rRNA from 1 species
GAUGAACGCUGGCGGCGUGCUUAACACAUGCAAGUCGAACGGGAUCCAGGCAGCUUGCUGCCUGGUGAGAGUGGCGAGCGGGUGAGUAAUGCGUGACCGACCUGCCCCAUACACCGGAAUAGCUCCUGGAAACGGGUGGUAAUGCCGGAUGCUCCGACUCCUCGCAUGGGGUGUCGGGAAAGAUUUCAUCGGUAUGGGAUGGGGUCGCGUCCUAUCAGGUAGUCGGCGGGGUAACGGCCCACCGAGCCUACGACGGGUAGCCGGCCUGAGAGGGCGACCGGCCACAUUGGGACUGAGAUACGGCCCAGACUCCUACGGGAGGCAGCAGUGGGGAAUAUUGCACAAUGGGCGCAAGCCUGAUGCAGCGACGCCGCGUGCGGGAUGACGGCCUUCGGGUUGUAAACCGCUUUUGAUCGGGAGCAAGCCUUCGGGUGAG